rnacentral:tRNA from 1 species
ACUAUUUUGGCAGAAAUAAGUGCAUUAGAUUUAGAAUCUAGUAAUAUGAUAAUUAUAUCAUAUAUAGUA